rnacentral:rRNA from 1 species
GACGAACGCUGGCGGCGUGCUUAACACAUGCAAGUCGAACGAUGAAGCCGGAGCUUGCUCCGGUGGAUUAGUGGCGAACGGGUGAGUAACACGUGAGCAAUCUGCCCUUGACUCUGGGAUAACUGCGGGAAACUGUAGCUAAUACCGGAUACGACACCUUGGGGCAUCCCAGGGUGUGGAAAGAAUUUCGGUCAAGGAUGAGCGCGCGGCCUAUCAGCUAGUUGGUGAGGUAAUGGCUCACCAAGUCGACGACGGGUAGCCGGCCUGAGAGGGUGACCGGCCACACUGGAACUGAGACACGGUCCAGACUCCUACGGGAGGCAGCAGUGGGGAAUAUUGCACAAUGGGCGAAAGCCUGAUGCAGCAACGCCGCGUGGGGGAUGAAGGCCGUCGGGUUGUAAACCUCUUUUAGCAGGGAAGAAGCGAAAGUGACGGUACCUGCAGAAAAAGCACCGGCUAACUACGUGCCAGCCGCCGCGGUAA